CCAUGCCUCACGAUCUCCUCGGGCUUCAACCCCUCUGCGCUACUCAAGUCUCCGAUCCUCCUCACUGAUAUGAAGGCAUGGGUCUUAUUGGUGAUGUGCAAGGUAAGGGCCUUAUUGGUGUUAAUUUAUUCAAAAAACCAUAUGUUUCAGUUACUACGGAAGAUGCUUCCUCUAGUGAAAAUGAAGAUAUUGCAGAGUCAAAAGAUGAGAUCUUGCGGGCA
rnacentral:lncRNA from 1 species